rnacentral:rRNA from 1 species
CGGCACGCCUAAACAUGCAAGUCGAACGAAGUAGCAAUACUUAGUGGCAGACGGGUGAGUAACAUGUGGGUAUCUGCCCUUUGGCCUGGAAUAACACGAGGAAACUUGUGCUAAUACCGGAUAAGUCUUUACGGAGAAAGCUUUAUGCACCAUUGGAUGAGCCUGCACUUGAUUAGUUUGUUGGUGGGGUAAUGGCCUACCAAGACUGUGAUCAAUAGCUGAUUUGAGAGGAUGAUCAGCCACAUUGGGACUGAGACACGGCCCAAACUCCUACGGGAGGCAGCAGUGGGGAAUCUUGCACAAUGGAGGAAACUCUGAUGCAGCGAUGCCGCGUGAGUGAAGAAGGCCCUUGGGUUGUAAAGCUCUUUCGUCGGGGAAGAAAAUGACUGUACCCGA